AAGCACUGAGGCUGGAGACCUGACUAGGAGCACUACUGAAUGACUGCAAUUUAAGUGAUUCUUAUAGUUCUAUUUAAUUGCACUCUUCAGCAACAGGCUCGCUGUCAACACCAUUCCCCUAUUUUCUUCAAGGAUGGUUCAAGAUAUCAAGAAGAUAUUAACAGCCCUAGGAGCAGGACCAGAGACCAUCUAUCAGACCGUUCGACGAAAGAAACAUUUGGAGAACUAAGCUCUAAAAUGGAACUUGCCUGUCUUCCUUCCACCGAUAAAACCAGCUUUGCUUAAAAUGGAUUGUACAGAAAGAGAAACACUUUAUCAGGAAAGAACUUGGAUGUAAAAAGCCAAAAAAAACCACCAACCUGCAGCAAGUCUUCACAAAUGGAUGGUUGGGAGAAGGCAGGUGGGAGGCUGUGCCACGUGAAAGUGACCAACCAUCCAAUUUCAUUUCAAUAAUGUUUGUAAUUUUCUUCCUACUGUGGUGGUUGAAAGUACAGCUGCCCUAUAUUUGUGUCCAUGUGCCCAGCUUUUGGUGAACAUGACCUUAACAAAUACAACAUGAAACAAACGAUAUACUUGCUGUUUUAAACUUGUGUAGUCAAUAAAUGAA